AGACUGUUUUUACCACCCCGUAUGGACACACUCCAAGAGUCCACGAAUCAGGCUUCCUAGAAUCCGAUGACUGAGAUACCUACGAAAGUGCGAAUCCACCAAAAAUCUACGCUCUCUGCCCCCCUCCUGGCCUCCUCUUUCCGACUCUCCCCCGAGAUCCCAUCCAUGGGGUAUCCGCGGCUCGCCUCCGGGUGUGAUCCCGUCAGCGCGCGGCGCGCCUAUGCGCCUCCCAAUCCCCACCGGUUGGCCCAGUCCGGAGGCCCGGCCUCUCCAUCUCCCGACCGCACCAGCCGGCACUGAGGCGCAGCAACAACAGCGGCCGGGCGGCGGGCGAACCCUAACGGCGGCCGGCGAGACGGCGCGGCACAGCUCGGCUCGGCUCGGCUCAGUGGGCAGCCGGUCUAGUGGGCACCGGGCGGACGGCGAGGUGGAGUCUCGCGGCGAGGGCGUAUUGUCCGGUGGCCUGCGUGUGGCGACUGCAGCUCGGCUUGAAGCAUCGGACGGACGGAGCGGAGCAGCGCUGCAUGCCUAGGCCCACGGAAGUAGUGAGCAUUUAUCUGCAGUGAGCGAUUUCAUUUCUAUGCGAUCAGAGAUUUCAAUUCUCUGCAUUGCGGCAGUGAGCAUUUCUUGAAUUUGAGCCAGCCCCAAAAUCCUGGGCCCGCCCCUACUCGCCGGAGGUGGAGAGGAAGCAGCAGGUGAUCGGGAAUGCGGCGACAGCGUGUCGGCUCCGGCAACAAAAGGCGACGGUCAGCCCAGGGCUACGGCAUCUUGACAGUCGCUCCGCUCCCGCACAGCUCCCGCACGCAUGAUUAAUGGAAUUCUUCUAAUUCUUGAUGAUCUGUAAAGAGUUGGACGAUCAUCUCCAUGCAGGAGACCUGUACGACAUGAAGAAGAGGUGGCAUGAGGUAAUACCUGAGCUUGAUGGACAAAAGAUAGGUUGUAGAAGUAAUCAGAUUGUUAAUACCUCGGUCGCAAGCAACAGGUUGGCAGAGGGAGUAUCCGACUCGUCGUGCCCCCCGGCGUCGAGGCGCUGCCUCAGCGUGAAGGGAUGUUGAAGAUGGAGGGAAGCUAUCUCCGGCAGCUGACACGCAGAAAAUAAGCCCGUAGUAAUUGUUGUUUGAAUCUGCUAUUUUGCCAUCUAUUUAUUUAUAAAGCUGCAAUCCUUUUUCUU